rnacentral:lncRNA from 1 species
UCUGCCAUGUGCACACUCUGCCCUUCCCUAGAGAGCGUGAUUCAUGGACCUUUGGAAAACUGAUUAGAGCAGCACAGCAUUUUAGGAACAUCUUUGGAAGCCAUCAUGAGCCGUCUCUGCUGAAGACAGCCCAACUCUCAAGUUUGUUUGACAGAGUGGUAGCAGGCAGUGUCUGCUUUGAUGAGUCCAGUACCAGCAGCUGAGUUCCAGGUAAGACACCUGUGGUGUCUCUUUCAAGACAGGUUCUUAAACACAGAACCCUUUGUGCUGCUCAGUAACGUGACCUGCUGUGUCUGACAAGUUCCUGAAUUUAGCCUUAUGUUAUUUCAGAUCCUACAGUCUCGUUUGUGAGACUCAAAUGGUCUCAAAUGGUGCCCUACCCAAAGCCAGAAGCCCUGUUGCUCAGAUGCCAGGUUGGGAGGCAGGUUACAGCUGUUGGAGUUACUGAGGAAAAUGUCAUAUGGAAUAGCCUCAUUUAUUUUGACAAAAACCAGUCUUCAUGCUGUGAUGGUAAUGGAAUCUUUCAGGCAUGCUAUGCUGGUUUGGAAACCUUUACACCCUGGCAGAACCAGACAACUGAUGCUGGCAGCUUUAUCAUUUUGGAGAACAGUGACAUUUAAUUUUCUAGACACAAAACCAAUUGUGAUAAAGUCACAAUGCAAAAUCUUUUGUCUUGGGAAAGAAGCAAAGAUAAAAUGGCAAAGUAUACUGGUUUUAAAAAGCUUUCCUUCAUAUUCUUGGAAAGCAAUUUGA